ACCGUAUACGCCCUUCGGGGGAAAGAAUUUCGGUGAGGGAUCGGCCCGCGUUAGAUUAGUUAGUUGGUGGGGUAAUGGCCUACCAAGACUACGAUCUAUAGCUGGUUUGAGAGGAUGAUCAGCAACACUGGGACUGAGACACGGCCCAGACUCCUACGGGAGGCAGCAGUGGGGAAUCUUAGACAAUGGGGGCAACCCUGAUCUAGCGAUGCCGCGUGAGUGAUGAAGGCCUUAGGGUCGUAAAGCUCUUUCGCCUGUGAUGAUAAUGACAGUAGCAGGUAAAGAAACCCCGGCUAACUCCGUGCCAGCAGCCGCGGUAAUACGGAGGGGGUUAGCGUUGUUCGGAAUUACUGGGCGUAAAGCGCACGUAGGCGGAUUAGUCAGUCAGAGGUGAAAUCCCAGGGCUCAACCCUGGAACUGCCUUUGAUACUGCUAGUCUUGAGUUCGAGAGAGGUAAGUGGAAUUCCGAGUGUAGAGGUGAAAUUCGUAGAUAUUCGGAGGAACACCAGUGGCGAAGGCGGCUUACUGGCUCGAUACUGACGCUGAGGUGCGAAAGUGUGGGGAGCAAACAGGAUUAGAUACCCUGGUAGUCCACACCGUAAACGAUGAAUGCCAGUCGUCGGGUAGCAUGCUAUUCGGUGACACACCUAACGGAUUAAGCAUUCCGCCUGGUGAGUACGGUCGCAAGAUUAAAACUCAAAGGAAUUGACGGUGGCCCGCACAAGCGGU
rnacentral:rRNA from 1 species